UGCCUCUGUUUUGGUAAAAAGCUGAGGGAUGGGCCUGGAGAAAUGCAACCGAUCAGAUUAAUAGACAGAGCUAUGGAUGUAAGGAAUUACCAUCCAUAGCUAAGAACACAAUGGGAGUUACAUCCAUCUACCAUCAGGAAGGGGCCCUAGUUGUGCACUCCAUCCUCCCCUGGAUGACUGUGUGCCCUGUCCCCUGCUCUCCGCCUGAGCUGUUGCCUCUGGGAACAGUGGUUGACCAACUUGCCAGAUCAGGACUGAAGGGCAUCUUUGGUGGCCUCAGGGUGAUAGAGAGCUUCGAGGUUCUCAUGACAUAACUUCAGGUGGUUCUCUGUUAUCCUGCCCACUAGAGGAAAGCCCUCUUAUUCCUCGAGCCCCUGAUGAAGAUCUACAGCUUGUCCAGCGUGGCCCUCAGGUCAGCCCAGGGAGCCGGGGAUGGUUCCAUCAUCAGCGCCAUGGCCACUAUCAGGGCUCUAAGAGGUCUGAGUCUGUGCUGCUCCUAUAACACCCAGCACCUGAUCGUGAGAUUCCACUCCCUGGGUAAACCAGUGUAUGGUCCAGCUGUCCUGUGGAAGAGGAGAGCAUCGGUCCCACGUAAGCGCUGCCAAAGGAGGCUUUCUACCACCAGGCCUUCUGGUUGCUUGCCCCAUGAGACCAGCCCUGUCAUCUAGUGGAAAAGUGUCCCGACUGAAAGACCCCACAUAACACACUGGGAGUCACAUCUGUCCUCCCCUAGAAGACCAUGUGCCAUAUCCCCUGGUCUGCACCUGAUCUGGAAGUGUUAUUUGGUUGCCUGUAGGAGCAGUUGUUGACCAACUCACCAGAUAUCGUCUGAAGGGCCAGGCUGUCUUUGGUGGUCUCAGGGUGAUAGAGAACAAUGAGGUUGUCAUUACACAACUUCAGGUGGUCCUCUGUCAUCCUGCCCACCAGGGUGGCUCUAAGGUCGGCCCAGGGAGCCGGGGACGUCUCCAUCACCAGCACCGUGGCCACAAUCAGAGCUCUGAGAGCAGCACAUCCCUGACUUUGGAAGCAUGGGUCUGUGCUGCUCUUAUAACACCCAGCACCUGAUCGUAAGCUUCCUCUUACUGGGUAGACCUAUGCAAGGACCAGCUGCCCACCCGAAGGAGACGAGAGGCUUGAGGAAUUUCAGCAGGAGGACCUCCACAACGGCAAAUAACAUCUCAUACCUGCUUCGCAAACUCCCAAGCCUUGCAAUCUCCUCACCACCACUACCCCAAAGCGAAAUUGCCCUACGUCGCCCAUCACCAUCACCAAGCCAGCUCCUGCUGAAGCCCAGCAAGCCCUCUGAGCUGUGGAGGCCUAAGGGGAGUCGGUCCACUAGCCCCACUGCUCUCCUGGACACCAUCACACCCCCUUCAAACUGUGGGGCCAGAGCCCAUGACCAUGGCCUCACCAUCCCUCCCUAUCUGCCAAUGACUGGAAUGAACUACAAAAAUCUCUAAAACUGGAAACACUUAUCUCUCUCACUAGCUUUAAGCACCAGCUGUCAGAGCAGCUCACAAAUUACUGCACCUGUACAUAGCCCAUCUAUAAUUUAGCCCAAACAACUACCUCUUCCCCUACUGUAUUUAUUUAUUUUGCUCCUUUGCACCCCAUUAUUUCUAUUUCUACUUUGCACUUUCUUCCACUGUAAAUCUACCAUUCCAGUGUUUUACUUGCUAUAUUGUAUUUACUUCGCCACCAUGGCCUUUUUUGCCUUUACCUCCCUUAUCUCACCUAAUUUGCUCACUUUGUAUAUAGAUUUAUUUUUCUACUAUAUUAUUGACUGUAGGUUUGUUUUACUCCAUGUGUAACUCUGUGUUGUUGUGUGUCAAACUGCUUUGCUUUAUCUUGGCCAGGUCGCAAUUGUAAAUCAGAACAUGUUUUCAACUUGCCUACCUGGUUAAAUGAAGGUGAAAUUAAAAAAAAUAAAAAAUAAAUCUCAGGGGUGGCAAUUGACCCAGAGGAGGAGAAGCAAAUCUCAGAUGAGGCCAAGCAGAUGAAGAAGAACAAGAAGAAGAAGAUUUACGGAGUUUCUUCUCAAGGGUUUGGAAGACCCUUACAUCUUGCGUCCCCUCAUGCCACAUCAGGGACUGAAUCUAAUCAAAUUAAAUAAAAAUUAAAUAAAAUGUUAUUGGUCACAUACUCAUGGUUAGCAGAUAUUAAUGCAAGUGUAGCGAAAUGCUUGUGCUUCUAGUUCUGACAGCGCAGUAAAAUCUAACAAGUAAUCGAACAAUUCCCCAACAACUACCUAUACACACAAAUCUGAAGGGAUGGAAUAAGAAUAUGUACAUAUAAAUAUAUGGAUGAGCGCUGGCCAAGCGGCAUAGGCAAGGUGCAAUAGAUGGUAUAAGGUACAGUAUAUACAUUUAAGAUGAGUAAUGUAAGAUAUGUAAACAUUAUUAUUAAAGUGG
rnacentral:lncRNA from 1 species